UUUUAUCCCUCUUUCCGUAUUUCGAUCAAUCAUUAAACGAAUGAAGGCGGAUGGCGGAGGUGGUAUUCAAACUCAAAGUUCUGAAAGCUCAGAAAUAAUGAGUUUGCAUUUUCAUUUUUCAUUGAGAUUUUUGUUGUGUUUAUCGGAAAACGGAAAAAUGCAGGAACCAGGGCAAGCGGGGGUCUUACUUUUAGUCUGGUAGAGGGAUUUUUGGAAAAUUAAAAAAAAAAAAUUAGUUUACUUUUACACUUGUCAGUUUUCAACUGUAGGUAACACUGCAAUCUAGAAUUGUAAACAAAAAUAAGUAACGUGCGCAACCGACUUCAGAACUUCACUAGAAAAACGUUAUAUUGUUAUCUGCUCUACCAAUUUUACUGCAUUAGAAUUUGUAAAAUAUCCAUGAUGGAUUAUUAAUUAGAAUUAGAAUUAGAAAUUAGUGUCAGUAUUGCUGCCCUCGGAAAUCAUGGACAGCUGCAAGUCCCAGUGCAACGUAUGUUUAGCGGAUUUCGACGACAUCGAAGACCUCGCCAUUCAUAAUUUGGACCAUCUCGUGAUCUCAACUUCACCAGUCCUGCUAUGCCCAUGGUGCGAAAUAGAAAUGCCGGUUCUAGCUGACUUCUGUCGGCAUGUAAUGAAUCACUUUAUAGAAGGUGAACUGGAACAGGCUAGAUUCAUUGAAUGGUUGACAAAACAGAAUAGUGAUGACUUCAACAGUACGAAUAGAAAAUCGUAAGUAGCACUAUCAAGUACCUAGGAAUCAUGCUAGAUCGAACCCUCACAUACAAGAGACACUGUGAGAACACAAAAAUGAAGGUGGAAGCAAGAAACAACCUACUGCAGAAACUGGUAUCAACUAGAUGGGGAGCAAAGCCAAAGACACUGAGGACAACAGCCGUGGCAUUGUGCUAUUCUACAGCAGAGUAUGGAUGUGCUGCUUAGGGGCGAUCAGCACAUGUUAAGAAGAUUGACGUUGCUCUCAACAACACCAUGAGAAUUGUGUCUGUAUGUGGCACAGGCACUGCAUACACUAGAGAGGAGCUGUGGGGAGAAAUGAACAACCGCACAGAAGACCUGGUGCAGAGAUGGAAGGGGAGAGUUUAAAGAGAUCCGAAUGUCCCGGACACGAAAAGAAGAAGAAGAAGAAUAUUGGCCCAAUUCCAUUUUUCAUUCUAACAAAUUAUGGAAAAUUUUCACUACAGAAAAGAAGAAUGGAAAGCAGUAAAGGUCGAAGUAUUUGAAGUACAGUUACCAGUGAUUACUCAAGAUUUCCGAUGCUUAUAUUGCGAAAAGCUGUGAGGUGGUGAAGGCCAAAAAAGCGUGAACCACAUCUUGAGUCAUUUUCCAACCAUCAGUCAUAGAAAAGUACAUGUGGUGCUGUGGUUCACGAGAUUUUUCGAAACUGUGGAAUCGACUUCCAUUGUUGAAACUUACUGUAAUUAUCUUCACGAGAUCAAAAAACAUGAUUCGAAUUCGCACCUGUUGGAGAAAAUCUCAAUGUUCAAAAAUGAUAACACAAAUAAAUGUCGUCUGUGCCAAUGUCAACUACCAGAUGCAGCAAGUUUGUAUUGCCAUUACAUGAAUUAUCACUGUGAUACUCCCAUAGUAUAUUGGAACUGCUCUAUUUGUAAUUUAAAAGAAGCAGAUAGUACCGAAUUUGUGAACCACGUGUAUACAAAACACAUGAGAUGUAUUUGUGGUAAAAAAUACCAAAGUUUCAAUGCUUGUCUUCGUCACUCAAAUAAGUGUUUCCGAGCUUGCCCUUACUGUAAGGUCAGUCGACUGCUACAUAAGUAGCAACUAGCAACCAGCAACUGGCAACUUGGCAACCAAAUCAAAAAAUUUUGAUUUGGUUGCUAGUUCCAGCCAAUAACCGAGCAACUUCUUAUCAUUUUCGUUCCACUGACGCGAAACGAAGUUGCUAAGUUGCCGAGUUGCCGCUUAUGUAGCAGUGCACUCAAACUCCCCUUCGAAUCUAUGAUCAGGCAUUUAAAUAAAGGAAGAAAAGAUUUAAUCUGUCCGUAUUGUGGCGAUAGAGAACACGAUUUGGAAAAGUUGAAAAGCCACGUACGUAGCAGCCCUUUGCCAGUUCCUGGUGUUUCUUGUCCGACCUGUAAGAAUUUCAGAUUCAACGAAGACGCAAAAUUAAAGGAACAUUUGUUAGAAUGUAAACCCUGGUUCGAUGAUUCUAGUGAGAAUAAGCCUUGUCAACCGUCACCAUUUAUUGAAAAAAGUAACCGCAUCAACAUUUACGAUAUUCAAAGUUAUUUGGAUGAAAAAAUAGUUGGUAUGACAGAAGAUAUAAGUUUCUAUAGUAAUUCAUCUAUGUUAAUGCUUUGUUAAUUUUUCCUUUUUGAGUAUUAUUUUUAAGAAAUGACGAUUUCCUGUUAUGUUGUUGGGAAGAAACGUGUGUUCUACUCAACUAACUCUGUUUACUUGAUUUAAGACUGAAUUUUUUACAAUAUUAUUUGUCAGUAUUUUGUACACUUCAUCUUCAUUGUAUCAAUGUGAGAAUAUAUGAUAGGUACUUUGAAAAAUGA